UUUCCGUAGGUGAACCUGCGGAAGGAUCAUUGUCGAAACCUGCAAAGACAGAACGACCCGUGGACCGGUGAAUAAUCACUCGGGGGGGAGUGCCCUCGGGCCUUUCUCCCGGAGUCCCCGGCCAAGGCGGUGGGCAAGAUCCACCUCCCGAGCGGGGGGCGAAACUAACAAACCCCGGCGCAGGUCGCGCCAAGGAAAACAAAGAGAGAUGCAUGAGCUCCCCGCGUGCCGGGAACGGCGCGUUGGGAGUUACAUCGUCGUUAUGACAAUCGAAACGACUCUCGGCAACGGAUAUCUCGGCUCUCGCAUCGAUGAAGAACGUAGCGAAAUGCGAUACUUGGUGUGAAUUGCAGAAUCCCGUGAACCAUCGAGUUUUUGAACGCAAGUUGCGCCCAAAGUCGUUAGGCUGAGGGCACGCCUGCCUGGGUGUCACGAAAAGUCGUCGAAUACCCCUCCCCCACCCCUCACGAGCGGGAGCGGCGAGGAGGGACGGCGGAUAUUGGCCUCCCGUGCGCCGGUGCGAGCGGUUGGCCGAAAAAUCUGGUACGCCCCGCGAGGCGGCCGCGACACACGGUGGUUGAAAGCGGACGCUGUCCUCGAACGCCGUCGCGGGCCACAGCCUCGUCUACGGGGAUCCCCGUCGAAGACCCCGACGCCGAGCGUCAUCACGGAGCGACCCCAGGUCAGGCGGGAACACCCGCUGAGUUUAAG
rnacentral:rRNA from 1 species